CGGGGGCGGGGCCGCGGUUGCCGGGGCGACACCGGCGGCGGCUGAGGGGAGAUUGGGACAGCUGUAUCAGCGAUGAGAAGUAGCAGCAGCCCUUAGCAAUGGGUGAUGUUUUAGCGUAUGAAGCUGAGUUGCUUGGACUAGUGAAAGAGUAUUUGGAUUUUGCCGGAUUUCAAGAAACAGUGAAAGUAUUUAAAAAGGAAUGUAAAAUAAAAGGGAAGCCACUACCUAAACCAGCAGAUGUUCCCUCAGAAGAUUCAUUGCCUGUUCAGGAAGAAAUGCUUACAGCAUUUGAAGAUGGUGAUCAGAAAGCCUUCUUCCACCUCUGGGAGGAGCAUAUUUUAUCUUCAGUCCAUGACAGUGAUCCAGUUGCUCAGAACCUGGAGUUCUAUCUCCACAUCUACUUUGCCACCUUCCUCUUGAAACAAACUAUGGGAAAACCUGACAAGGCUGAACUUGACGAAAGGAUUUCUUAUUUCAAGGCAUACCUGGAAACAAAAGGAGCUGCACUGAGCCAGACCACAGAGUUUCUUCCCUUCUAUGCUUUGCCCUUUGUUCCAAACCCCAUGGUACAUCCUUCAUUUAAAGAACUUUUCCAGGAUUCUUGGACACUGGAUUUAAGGACAAGAUUGGAAACAUUCCUGUCGCUGGCUCUUAAAGCCAGACAGACUCCUCGGCUUCUCACUAUAUUUAAGGAGAGUGGACAGUGCAACAAAGAAAUGAUGCAACAUCUUCAUCAGCAGUUAGUGAAGCGUGAGCACAGGUACAUGACCAACCUGAAACGAUUGCGCAAGUUGCAGAUGGACUACCGUGGUCUCCUUGAAGUCACUGCAGAGCUGGUGGAUUCUUUGGAGGCCACAGUCACUGGCAAGAUGAUUACACCAGAGUACAUUCAAAGUGUUUGUGCUUGCUUGUUUAACAAUCAUUUGAAACAAACUGUAACACACAACAUUGACUUCACAAGGCCUGGAACUGGAUAUUACUCUAUGAGCCCUUGUGAUGACGGAUAUGCUUCCACACUGUUAAGGGCAUCUUUAUCCUCUAUGAAGGUGCAGGAUGUGCCAUUGCUGCCCUCUCUGGAUUAUGAGAAGCUGAAGAAAGAUUUGAUUACAGGGAGUGAUCGUCUCAAGGCCCUCUUACUGCAGGCUCUGCGCUGGCGCUUGACAACAUCAUAUCCUGGGGAACAGAGAGACACUAUCAUGCAAGCCUACAUCAGUAAUGACCUCCUAGAUUGCCACAGCAACUGUCAGAGAAGUGUCCUCCAAUUACUAUAUUCUAAGAGUGAGGUGGUCAGACAGUAUAUGGCAAGGCUCAUCAAUGCUUUUGCUUCACUGAUAGAAGGUCGUGCCUACCUUUCUCAGAACCUAACAUUGCUGCAAAUGCUGGAGGACAGACUGAAAGCUGAAGACAAGGAUUCCCUUACAUGGGAGAAUGUUCUGGGGGCUCUGCAGAAAUUCAGCCUCAGGCGCACACUGCAGUCAGCAAUGAUCAAAGAUGGGCUCAUUUUCUGGCUGGUUGAUGUUCUGAUAGACCCAGAUUGCCUGUCUGAUUACAACCUGGAGUAUUGUGCUGCCUUGCUCAUGAAUCUUUGUCUGAGGAGUGCAGGGAAGAAAAUAUGUGCAAGUAUCCCAAACCCCAUGCUCAGAGUUCUUUCUGGUCUUCUUGACCAUGAGAAUCCUAAGGUCCAGUCAUAUGUGAAUGGAGUGCUGUACAGUAUUCUGGCCAUCCCUUCUGUCCGAGAGGAAGCCAAAGAAAUGGGAAUGGAAGAAAUUCUGCGCUGCUUCAUCAAGGAAAGAAAUGAAGAGAUGGUUCGACAGAUGGAAUUUGUUAUCAAGCAACUCAAUUCAGAAGAGCCAUUCAAUGAUAGUAUUGUGUCUGAUGAUGAGGAGGAAGAGGAGUAUGAGGAAGAGGACAAUGACAUCCUGGAGCCUGAUGUGGACAAAGAUGAGGUUUUGCUGCCUCAGCUGGGGGAGCUUUCAGGAGAGAAGCUGCUGACAACCGAGUACUUGGGAAUAAUGACUCACACUCCAAAAACUAAGAAGAAGCAAUUUGCUGGUGUCCAGCAGAGUAUAGAUGAGCCUCUCCAGAGACCUGUGACACCAGGUUAUCACAGAACUGCAUAUCUAACGCCAGAAAAUGGUACCAGUUCCUGUCAUGACAGGGAUGAGAAGCUGCAGUCUCCAGCGAGUGGCCCUUCCUCCACCUGUGGUGGGAGACAGUCCAGCAUUUCUGACUUCUGCAUUUCCCCCUCAUCAGUUGAAAUGAAGUCAUCUGAAGUAUUUGCAUCAGGUCGUAGAAUGGACCAACACAUCCCAGCUGGUGAUACCUUAUCUUCUCAAUCUGCUGACUUCACUGAGAGCAAAGUAAAUGGUCAAUCACACAGUGACUUUGCCCUAGCCUUCACCAGCAAACCGAAGAUCCCUCGCACUCCUGACGGCCAGAGCAGCAGCCCUAGGAAGGGAAAGGUCCCUGCCAUUGCCCCCCAGUUCUCUCAGUCUGGACCCCAACAAUCAAGCCAUCCAAGCUCCUCAGGAUCUGCAAGGAGCAGACAGACUACUUAUUACAGAGUCAGAAAAUGAAAUGAAGAUAAUUUGAAUAACCCAGUAAACGAGCUGGAAAGAGCAUUCUGAGCCUUGUGUGUUGCUCAUUCAUCGUUCCACACAGUUGCACAUGCAGAGAAGUGCUGUGGUUUCGUUCAGGGAGUACAGGUGAGGCAUUGGAAGGGAAUGUUCUUGGUGGCGAAAGGAGGUUUUGACCUGCAGGCUCCUUGCUUCAACACUCCUGUGCUGAGGCAGCCAGUCCUACAGGAAGUGAGAACAGUUCCUUUCCUCGAGAAUCACCUGUCACAUUGUUGAAGGACAGAGCCAGCUUCCUGUAAUGAGCUUUCCUGGUGACCUGCAGAGGAGAGUGAGGUUGUUGACACUGCGGGCCUUGCACAGGGAUUGGGGAUUAUCUGAUGGGAUGUGUCUGUGGGCUCUAAAACUGGCUAAGACAAGGGCCUUGUUAUUAGAAUUCGAGGUCUCAACAGCAGUCCAGGACUGGCAUGGGAGAUGGAUAUUUUCUGGUUGUUUACUCUAAAGUGACAUUGCCACCUCGAGAAGAAACUCUUGCUCUCUGCUUCUGUGUCAGUGUAAAUGGCCUUUGGAAACAGAAUGUAGGCUCAGCCCAGGAGUCUUACCAAGAAACUGUAUUUUUUACUUAUUGCUUGCUGAAGCAGCCUGCCAAUUGCUUUUUUAAAAUUCUGCCUGUGUGACUGGGUUGGGAGGUAUCUGUGUUCAAAGGAUCUGCAUGAAGAGGGACAGUGUCUGCCACAUGUGCAGAGCCUCCCAGCCCAGAGCAGUCCUGUGUGGGGUGAGAUCUUCCUGACCUUGAAGAGGAGGUAUUUUAUCAAAAUCUGGUUGACCUGUAGCAGAUGAAAAACACUGUUACAGUGCCCAAGGCAGCAUCCAUGCUCACCUCUGAGGUCUUUAUCUGCAGCAAUUACUCCUAUUACUUCUUUCUGCAUUUUUUAUUAAUUCUACUGUUUAACAUCUGUGGAAUGAAAAAUCUCUUUCUUUUUUCUUUUUUUUUUUUCCUGGAAUGAAGAGCUUUGCUUCUUCUUUCAUAGAAGAAACCAUGAGAAUGUGAGCAGAUUAGAAGCAACUUUCUCUUUACAUGUAACUGUGCUCCAUCUUCUUUGGUGUUUGUUGUUUUUUUUUAUGUUCUUUGCUUCAGAGCAAUGACUGUUUAUGUCUCUAUGGAAUUUGUGCUGUGUUUGGUGCAUGUGAAGUGCUGGCUAGGCAAGAGAGAUCAGGAAUCCUUCCACUGAAUAAAAAGCAGCAGUUAGUUCUGCCAGUGAAUUACAAA